rnacentral:rRNA from 1 species
UACGAAGGGGGCUAGCGUUGCUCGGAAUCACUGGGCGUAAAGAGCUCGUAGGCGGCUUGUCGCGUCUGCUGUGAAAACUCGGGGCUUAACCCCGGGCCUGCAGUGGGUACGGGCAGACUAGAGUGCGGUAGGGGAGACUGGAAUUCCUGGUGUAGCGGUGAAAUGCGCAGAUAUCGGGAGGAACACCGGUGGCGAAGGCGGUUCUCUGGGCCUUACCUGACGCUGAGGAGCGAAAGCGUGGGGAGCGAACAGG